AGUUCAUUUUCUGCCCGCCCUCUCUCUCUCACACAUCACCGGCACUGAGGGUUUCUCACGCCCAAUCCCUAGCAGGGUUUUCUUUUUUUUCCUCCCGAAGCUUAGAGGAGAAUUGAAACCCGCGUCAACCAUGGCGACGCUGGAUCCCGAGAUCGCGAGGAUCCAGGAAGAGAGGAAGAAGAUGGAGCAGCAACUGGCCUCCCUCAACUCCGUCACCUACGACACCGACCUCUACGGCGGCACCGACCGCGACGCCUACGUCAGCUCCAUCCCCGUCAACGAGGAGGAGGACAACCUCGAGGGCAUGGACUCCGAGGUCGCCCGCAAGCUCGCCUCCUACACCGCCCCGAAGUCGCUCCUCAAGGAGAUGCCCCGCGGCAGCGGCGAGGAGGACGACGCCGGGAUGGCGGGGUUCAAGAAGCCACAGAGGAUCAUCGACCGCGAGGAUGAUUAUCGGAAGAGGAGGCUGAACCGGGUUAUCUCGCCCGAUCGGCACGAUGCGUUUGCCGCGGGGGAUAAGACUCCGGACGUGUCCGUCAGGACUUAUGCGGACGUGAUGCGAGAGGAGGCGUUGAAGAGGGAAAGGGAGGAGACGCUCAGGCUUAUUUCCAAGAAGAAGAAGGAAGAAGAGGAAGCUGCAAAGGCUGGGGGCGCGAAGGAGACGGAAGUUGCUCCGGCGCAGAAGCGAAGGAACAGGUGGGACCAAGCACAGGACGAAGCUGGUGCUGCGAAGAAGGCAAAAGCUGGUUCUGACUGGGAUUUGCCUGAUUCGACGCCUGGAAUUGGGCGUUGGGAUGCGACCCCUACGCCCGGGAGAGUCGGUGAUGCCACGCCUUCGGUGGGUCGGAGAAACCGGUGGGAUGAGACCCCUACCCCAGGACGGCUGGCAGAUUCAGAUGCAACUCCUGGUGCUGUGACUCCUGGAGCGACUCCAGCUGGUAUGACUUGGGAUGCCACGCCCAAGCUGGCCGGUAUGGCCACGCCGACCCCAAAAAGGCAGAGGUCAAGAUGGGAUGAGACUCCGGCCACAAUGGGGAGUGCUACGCCAAUGGCGGGUGCUACACCUGCAGCUGCUUUCACACCAGGGGUAACUCCCGUUGGAGGUGUUGAUCUUGCUACGCCUACUCCUGGGCAAAUUAACUUGCGGGGGCCAAUUACGCCCGAGCAGUAUAAUUUGAUGAGGUGGGAGAAGGAUAUUGAGGAGAGGAACAGGCCGCUGACGGAUGAGGAGCUUGAUGCCAUGUUCCCCCAGGAGGGGUAUAAAAUUUUGGAACCACCUGCAUCUUAUGUGCCUAUUAGAACGCCAGCAAGGAAGCUUUUGGCAACCCCUACGCCAUUGGGCACUCCGCUUUAUCAAAUUCCAGAAGAGAAUCGUGGGCAGCAGUUUGAUGUUCCUAAGGAGGCGCCUGGUGGUCUACCCUUCAUGAAGCCAGAGGAUUAUCAGCAUUUUGGGGCACUGUUGAAUGAGGAGAAUGAAGAAGAGCUGUCUCCUGAAGAACAGAAAGAGCGUAAGAUCUUGAAACUUCUGUUGAAGGUAAAGAAUGGUACUCCACCACAGAGGAAGACAGCGCUUAGACAGCUUACAGACAAGGCUCGAGAGUUUGGUGCUGGGCCUUUGUUUAACCGUAUUCUGCCUUUGCUCAUGCAAGCCACUCUGGAGGAUCAGGAAAGGCAUCUCUUGGUUAAGGUGAUUGAUAGGGUACUAUACAAAUUGGAUGAAUUGGUACGUCCUUACGUGCAUAAGAUUCUUGUUGUUAUUGAACCUCUGUUGAUUGAUGAGGAUUACUAUGCACGUGUUGAGGGGAGAGAAAUCAUUUCUAAUUUGAGCAAGGCAGCUGGCUUGGCUACUAUGAUUGCUGCUAUGCGUCCAGAUAUUGAUAAUAUUGAUGAGUAUGUGAGAAAUACGACUGCUAGAGCUUUCAGUGUCGUUGCUUCUGCUCUUGGAAUUCCUGCUCUGUUGCCAUUCUUGAAAGCUGUGUGUCAGAGCAAGAAAUCCUGGCAAGCUCGCCACACUGGAAUCAAGAUUGUUCAGCAGAUUGCUAUUUUGAUAGGUUGUGCUGUUCUACCACAUUUGAAGUCUCUUGUCGAAAUUAUAGAACAUGGCCUGAAUGAUGAGAACCAGAAGGUGAGAACUAUUACUGCACUGUCUCUGGCUGCUCUUGCUGAGGCUGCUGCGCCUUAUGGUAUUGAAAGUUUUGACUCAGUGUUGAAGCCACUUUGGAAGGGUAUUAGGUCACACAGGGGAAAGGUCUUGGCUGCAUUUUUGAAAGCAAUUGGGUUUAUUAUUCCUCUGAUGGAUGCUCUGUAUGCUAGUUACUAUACUAAAGAAGUCAUGGUCAUUCUUAUCCGUGAGUUUCAGUCUCCAGAUGAGGAAAUGAAGAAGAUAGUGCUUAAAGUGGUCAAACAGUGUGUGAGUACUGAGGGUGUUGAGGCUGAAUACAUACGAACUGACAUUCUUCCAGAGUUCUUCAGGAAUUUCUGGGUUAGAAGGAUGGCUUUGGAUAGGAGAAACUAUAAGCAGCUCGUGGAAACAACUGUGGAGAUAGCUAAUAAAGUUGGCGUUGCCGACAUAGUCGGGAGAAUUGUUGAGGAUCUGAAGGAUGAGAGUGAGCCAUAUCGGCGAAUGGUCAUGGAAACAAUAGAGAAGGUGGUUGCAAACCUGGGUGCCUCUGAUAUUGAUUCUCGCCUGGAAGAGCUCCUCAUUGAUGGUAUCCUUUACGCCUUCCAAGAGCAGACUAGUGAUGAUGCCAAUGUAAUGCUUAAUGGCUUUGGUGCUGUGGUGAAUGCUCUUGGGCAAAGAGUGAAGCCAUAUCUUCCACAGAUUUGUGGUACGAUAAAGUGGCGAUUAAACAACAAGAGCGCAAAGGUAAGACAACAAGCUGCUGAUCUUAUCUCCAGGAUUGCUGUUGUCAUGAAGCAGUGUCAGGAGGAACAACUGAUGGGUCAUCUUGGCGUUGUUCUGUACGAAUACUUGGGAGAAGAAUACCCUGAAGUUUUGGGUUCCAUAUUGGGUGCUUUGAAAGCUAUUGUCAAUGUGAUUGGGAUGACAAAAAUGACGCCUCCCAUAAAAGAUCUGCUUCCCAGGCUGACGCCCAUUCUGAAGAACAGACAUGAGAAGGUCCAGGAGAACUGUAUUGACCUUGUUGGUCGUAUUGCUGAUCGUGGGGCUGAAUUUGUUCCGGCAAGGGAGUGGAUGAGGAUAUGCUUUGAGCUUCUUGAUAUGCUCAAAGCCCACAAGAAGGGUAUUCGGCGAGCUACGGUGAACACUUUUGGUUAUAUUGCUAAAGCUAUUGGACCUCAAGAUGUCCUUGCAACCCUUUUGAACAAUCUCAAAGUUCAGGAGCGUCAGAACCGUGUAUGCACAACUGUUGCCAUUGCUAUAGUUGCAGAGACAUGUUCUCCUUUCACAGUUCUGCCGGCUUUGAUGAAUGAGUAUCGUGUGCCUGAGCUCAACGUGCAGAACGGUGUUCUGAAAUCCCUUUCCUUUCUGUUUGAGUACAUUGGUGAAAUGGGGAAGGACUACAUAUACGCAGUGACUCCACUGCUCGAAGAUGCACUCAUGGAUAGAGAUUUGGUGCACAGGCAGACUGCUGCUUCUGCUGUAAAGCAUAUGGCUUUGGGAGUUGCUGGGUUGGGUUGUGAGGAUGCACUUGUCCACUUGCUCAACUACGUCUGGCCAAACAUCUUUGAGACUUCCCCUCAUGUCAUAAAUGCCGUUAUGGAAGCCAUCGAAGGCAUGAGGGUGGCCCUGGGUGCUGCUGUUGUGCUAAACUACUGCCUCCAGGGGCUGUUCCAUCCUGCAAGGAAGGUCCGGGAAGUAUACUGGAAGAUCUACAACUCGCUAUAUAUUGGAUCUCAGGAUGCUCUUGUUGCGGCUUAUCCGGUGCUGGAUGAUGAGCAGAGCAACAUAUAUAGCCGGCCAGAGUUAACGAUGUUCAUCUGAGUUAACAGCAGAAACUUUGAGAUUUUGAUGAUGAUGAAUGGCUGGACCAUCGGCUUUGCGGGAUGGAUUGUAGUGGGAAAUGUUGGCUGGAUGGCAGCGAGGAAUGAAUGGUCUGAAGUAGGAACCAGGAGCUCUGUACCCCACCAGAUUGAUUGUUCAGAAACAGACCUGAGCAAGCAUACCCCGACCAGACUCAGGGGCUUAGCUUGCUCUGGAAGGAUCCGUGUCUGUGAAGGCCUGGCCCAGCAUGCCAAUGCCUUGUUUACUAUUGCCUCUGAAGCGGAUAAGGUGAAAAGGGUAUCUGUUUUUGGGCAAACUUGCAAACCGAAAAAUGUUGAAGAUUUGAUGUAGAAGUUGAGCAGUAUGAAAAGCAGUGGAGACUUGAUCUACGUGGACAGUAAUUUCUUGAUAUAUAUGCAAGUCAGACCAUCUAAGAGUUCCUAAUCUUUACCAUUAGUCAUCUCAAUGGUUUUCUUCCUCCCGAAAUCUGUCAAGCGCAAAAGUAGGAGGACCUUGAUUCAAGCUUGAAUUACUCCCAAGGUUCACACCCCCUUCCCAUCCAGCUGAACCCUGACAAAGUCCUUUCGUGAUGACUCUGUGUGAUGCAUCACCCUGUCCAGAGCCUCUUUAUAUUGCCAUAACCCCACUUUAUAGAGACGUUCUGUGCAACUUUUGAAAUUUCGCGUCAUUGCAACGAGAGUCAUUUAGUGGAAUGAUCUUUCAGGAAGCUUGCCAGA